CGGUGAGUUUCUAUUUCUUGGUGAUUCGGUUUGUGAAAUGACUAUUAAUUACAAGCACAGCAUCAUCAACGGUGAUUGCAAGAACUACUGCAAUCCCUGCGGUUUUUCCUCUUGGUAAAUGCGUUCUGGUCGUGACCAAGGUGGUCUCCCAAAUCGGCUGGGAAUAAGGCUAUUGUUGCAGAACAAAACGCCACAACCACUGUUGUGGUAAAUAUGUUCCAGCAGUACUGCCCACCGCCGUCGGUGUAAUGAUUUCGAUAGCUGAACAAACGCCAUCUCCUGGGCAUUCCCACAUGCCGACAAUAGCUAUUAUAUCACGUGUGAAUAAAACUGCGGCUAAAUUUGGUUAUUAACAGUGCAAUAGUGCCAUGUCAUUGGCAAAAACACUAAGGGCUGCUGGCACAUAGGGGUUGUAAAGUUUUUGGAAUCGAUGAACUUACUGGAAGAAGACGAUGGUCGAAAACAUAUGAUGAAAUAUCUUCUGACAUGCCUUUGACAAUCGUUAAGUCAGACGGAGGCUUCACAUACGAUAUUUCACACAUGGCUGGAAUUCGUUA
rnacentral:lncRNA from 1 species